AGCCCGGAGAUAUUAUUUUGGGUGUCUCCUGCCCUGUGAGGUUAAUCUUUAACGGCCGCAGUACUCUGACUGUGCUAAGGUAGCAUAAUAACUUGUCUUUUAAUUGGAGUCUGGAAUGAAAGGAGGUUAUGGGGAUAUACUGUCUCAAGCGAAAUUAGACUAAACUUACUUAGGAGGUGAAAAUUCCCCCACUACAACUAAUAAGACGAGAAGACCCUAGGAGCUUAUUAUAUUAGAAUUCCUUCUUUUGUGUUUUGCUGGGGCGGCAAGGGACCUUAAUUUUUAUCGUCCCUAACUAAUUUUUACUAGAGGCUAUCUAAGAAGAUAGAGUCAAGCUACCCUAGGGAUAACAGCACAAUUCCUUUUUGAGUUUGUGACCUCGAU
rnacentral:rRNA from 1 species